AUUGAACGCUGGCGGCAUGCCUUACACAUGCAAGUCGAACGGCAGCAUGAUCUAGCUUGCUAGAUUGAUGGCGAGUGGCGAACGGGUGAGUAAUACAUCGGAACGUGCCCUGUAGUGGGGGAUAACUAGUCGAAAGAUUAGCUAAUACCGCAUACGACCUGAGGGUGAAAGUGGGGGACCGCAAGGCCUCAUGCUAUAGGAGCGGCCGAUGUCUGAUUAGCUAGUUGGUGAGGUAAAGGCUCACCAAGGCGACGAUCAGUAGCUGGUCUGAGAGGACGAUGAGCCACACUGGGACUGAGACACGGCCCAGACUCCUACGGGAGGCAGCAGGGGGGAAGUUUGGACAAUGGGGGCAACCCUGAUCCGGCAAUGCCGCGUGUGUGAAGAAGGCCUUCGGGUUGUAAAGCACUUUUGUCCGGAAAGAAAUCGCACUUACUAAUAUUAGGUGUGGAUGACGGUACCGGAAGAAUAAGGACCGGCUAACUACGUGCCAGCCGCCGCGGUAACAC
rnacentral:rRNA from 1 species